rnacentral:rRNA from 1 species
CGUAGGGUGCAAGCGUUAAUCGGAAUUACUGGGCGUAAAGCGUGCGCAGGCGGUUAUAUAAGACAGAUGUGAAAUCCCCGGGCUCAACCUGGGAACUGCAUUUGUGACUGUAUAGCUAGAGUACGGUAGAGGGGGAUGGAAUUCCGCGCGUAGCAGUGAAAUGCGUAGAUAUGCGGAGGAACACCGAUGGCGAAGGCAAUCCCCUGGACCUGUACUGACGCUCAUGCACGAAAGCGUGGGGAGCAAACAGGAUUAGAUACCCUGGUAGUCCACGCCCUAAACGAUGUCAACUGGUUGUUGGGUCUUCACUGACUCAGUAACGAAGCUAACGCGUGAAGUUGACCGCCUGGGGAGUACGGCCGCAAGGUUG